AAAAGUGCUCGCGUCGUGAUUAUGUAAGAAUGGAUGCGAUGAUACUAAAAGGAACAAACAAUUAAACGACCACUGGAUUCCAUAGUAUCAAAAGAGCUUUUGGAGGCAUUUUGCAAUAAUUACUGUGAAUUUGUAAGCAAAAUAUCCAACUUAAAAACAGGUGUAUUGUCUUCGCAGUUGUUUGUAUUUCACACCCGAUCAAAUUUGUUCACGACCUAGUGCUUUUAAUUUACAACCCCAACAAAAAUAGACCGAAAUGUAUUCGGCGUUGGAACUCUUGAUCUGAAGUUAGUUCAAAGCGAAAGGGUUCUCAUUUGACCGCAGUGCUCAAGUGAUUUCCUCUCGUUUUUUUUUUUUUUUUUACUCAUUUUCCGAUUUUUCAAAAGAAGACAGAGAGAGGUUGUUUUUAUAUUUGAGUUGAAACGCGUGAAAUAUUUAUGAGCUGUGAGACUAUUUUCUCGUUAUCUGGCGCAACUUUUAUUGUGAGUUGCGGUGACUGUUGCGGAGUUUCUCCACUGAUGACAACCAAAUAACACAAGCGCCAUCUGCCCUUGAAUGGAACUUGCUUUAAAUUUUAAUUCGCCAUUCAAAAAGAUCGACCCUCGCUGUUUAUAUGCGCGUAGAUUUACCAACCAGGUCAUAUGGCUGGGAAAAGAUUGAUGGCACGUCUAUAAUCAAAGGAAACAGGUGGUCAAAACUCAGGAGAAUCAAGGACAAGAACAGUAACUCACAUUUGCAAGGGAAAUCAGUGUGAAGAAUUUACAGACAUCUUCAAAGAGGAACUAAACAAGCCUCGAGAAGUUUAGACACAGGACUGGAAAACUUUUGGACGUGAAUAAGUCAAGGAGAGUGCCUGAAUAUCGCAAUUGUUUUAAACAAUAUGAAAGGGAAGAAAUAAGAGUUUGAUUUGGUUGAAGCUUUCGUUUGUAACAUUCUCGAAUGGCCAUUCGACCUCAACCAUUAAGAGGUCAAAAAGAAAGUCUGGAAAGGUAUCUUGGAGUGGUUUUUACAACGACAGCAGUCUUUUCAGUGUCACGUAUUUAACAGACGUUUGGGAAAUUAAAAAGUUCGUAUUUCCUCAAGCCAAGGCCAAGGAUAUUAAUUAUUUUCAAGCCGUGUAAUUCAAAUAUAUUGAAACCAGUGUCGUGCUGUGAGUUUUGAAUAAUUUAAAGAGUUUGUUUUCAAUUUCGGUUUAAUCAGAGCAAAGACUUAGGAAAAGGCUUGUUCCUGGGGGAUUUGCGAAAAGCUGGACCUUUAUGACGAAUGUUUGAAAAAGCUACUGAAAGCUGUGUCCAACAAAACACUGAACUCUAUGGAUGAUCUGCAAACAGGAAAUUACGUGUAAACGCCUCCUAAAGAAAGUUGGAAAGUUAACAAAUUACAAUAAGUGUCUUAAACAGAGGAAAACCACGUUGUAAAAUAAGGGUGAAUUUUUCUGGUCGGUUUUUUACCUCAGCCCUAUGGCAAUGGCUGUCGCCACAGCAGUUACCCUUAGUUACCGCCGGUCGCGCACCACGUCACGUGACUGGUCAAUUUCAAACUCGGUACCAGUCGUGAUCGACAAAUUGGCGGAGCCAGUCGUCAUCAACAUCGGCGGGAAAAAAUACGAGACUUUCGAGCACACG
rnacentral:lncRNA from 1 species